rnacentral:rRNA from 1 species
UGAGCAAUCUGCCCUUCUCAUCGGAAUAAGCGUUGGAAACGACGUCUAAUGCCGAAUACGACCUCCUUUCGCAUGAUCGGAGGUGGAAAGCUCCGGCGGAGAAGGAUGAGCUCGCGGCCUAUCAGCUAGUUGGUGUGGGUAAUGGCCCACCAAGGCGACGACGGGUAGCCGGCCUGAGAGGGUGACCCGGCCACACGUGGGACUGAGACACGGCCCAGACCUCCGACGGGAGCAG